CCUACGGGGGGCAGCAGUGGGGAAUAUUGCACAAUGGGGGAAACCCUGAUGCAGCGACGCCGCGUGAAGGAAGAAGUAUUUCGGUAUGUAAACUUCUAUCAGCAGGGAAGAAAAUGACGGUACCUGACUAAGAAGCCCCGGCUAACUACGUGCCAGCAGCCGCGGUAAUACGUAGGGGGCAAGCGUGAUCCGGAUUUACUGGGUGUAAAGGGAGCGUAGACGGCAGCGCAAGUCUGGAGUGAAAUGCCGGGGCCCAACCCCGGAACUGCUCUGGAAACUGUGAAGCUGGAGUGCAGGAGAGGUAAGCGGAAUUCCUGGUGUAGCGGUGAAAUGCGUAGAUAUCAGGAGGAACACCGGCGGCGAAGGCGGCUUACUGGACUGUAACUGACGUUGAGGCACGAAAGCGUGGGGAGCAAACAGGAUUAGAUACCCGAGUAGUC
rnacentral:rRNA from 1 species